rnacentral:rRNA from 1 species
UCGGCAAUGGACGCAAGUCUGACCGAGCGACGCCGCGUGCGGGAUGAAGGCCUUCGGGUUGUAAACCGCUGUCGUAGGGAAUCAAGUGUACGAGGGUACUCCCUUGUAUUUGAGAGAUCCUAGGAGGAAGGGGAGGCUAAGCUCGUGCCAGCAGCCGCGGUAAGACGAGCUCCCCAAACGUUAUUCGGUAUUACUGGGCUUAAAGAGUUCGUAGGCGGCUCUGUAGGUGAGAUGUGAAAGCCCUCGGCUUAACCGAGGAACGGCGUUUCAAACCACAGGGCUUGAGGGAGAUAGGGGUAAGCGGAACAGAUGGUGGAGCGGUGAAAUGCAUUGAUAUCAUCUGGAACACCGGUGGCGAAGGCGGCUUACUGGGUCUUUUCUGACGCUGAGGAACGAAAGCUAGGGUAGCGAACGGGAUUAGAUACCCCGGUAGUCCUAGCCGUAAACGAUGAGCACUAGUCUGAGGGACUCUCACAGUUUCUCGGACGUAGCGAAAGUGUUAAGUGCUCCGCCUGGGGAGUAUGGUCGCAAGGCUGAAACUCAAAGGA